rnacentral:rRNA from 1 species
GACGUGGGGGGCCAGCGUUGCUCGGGAAUUACUGGGCGUAAAGCGCACGUAGGCGGAUACUUAAGUCAGGGGUGAAAUCCCGGGGCUCAACCCCGGAACUGCCUUUGAUACUGGGGUAUCUCGAGUCCGGAAGAGGUGAGUGGGAAUUCCGAGUGUAGAGGUGAAAUUCGUAGAUAUUCGGAGGAACACCAGUGGCGAAGG